AUGAAAGCACAAGCCCCGGAGUUUCGGAAGGCGGCGGGAGGGCGGGGGGCCGGGGAGGGGUCGGGGCGCCGCGGAGUCAGCCAAGUGGCCGGCGAGGGGCCGCUGCCCCCCGCGCCCGCCCCGGCGCCCCCACCCGCGCGCGCACACACACACACACACACACACGCGCGCGCGCACACACGCACUCACACGCACUCACACACGCACGCACUCACUCACUCACACUCACGCCGCCGCCUCACCUCUCGCUCCGCCCGGCCGGCCCCUUCCCUGCCCCCGGCGGGACCGGCCUGCUCGCGGCGCUGGAACCACGUAGGAGGCGGCGGCCGCGGGAGUGGCGGAGUCUCCGGCCCGGCCCAGAGUGAGCGAGCAGCGGGGCUCCAGGGCGCAUCCCAAUCCCCGCAGCGCCUCCUCCGCCGCCGCCGCCUCCUCCUUCCCCUCCUCCUGGCUUCAUUCACCCUCCCAGCCGCCGCGCAGCCGCUCACUCCCGGCGCCGCUCCUCCGCUGCCGCCGCGGGCGCUGGCGGGGGCGCCGGCCCGGGCUGGGGCGCUCGCGGGCUCCGGGCUCCGGGCGGCGGCGGCUGCACAUGAUCAGGAAGCGGCCGCACCAACAGGGCGGCGGUGGCGGCGGCGGCGGCGGCGGCGGCGGCGGCGGAGGAGGAGGAGGAGGAGGAGGAGGCGGCAGGGCCGCCGCCGCCGCCGCUCCAGCCGCGCUCCCGGCACCCGCACGUCGGCUCCCCCCGCGCCCACCCCUCCGCGCCCCCCGCGCUCCCACCGCCCGGCGCCCGGCCGCGCGCAGAGUCCCGGGCCGCAGCCACACGCCGGGCGAGGCCGGCCUCCGCGGGGGACCCCCGCCCCGGGCUCAGGGGCCGGGCGGCCCUCGCGGGGGGCGGGGGGGAGGCCCGGCCCCCCUCCGGACCCACUGGCUCCGCCGCCCUCCCGGGGGCCCGGGCUGCGCAGGGGGCGGCGGGCGAGAGGGCAGCGCGACCCCCGGCCGCCGCCGCCGCCGCCGCCGCCGCCUCCAGGGAGGGGGACGCGGGUCUCCGCACUCGCGGCCGGCCCGGCAGCCCCGCCGCUCCCCCGCCCGCUCCCGCUCCCGCUCCCGCACCCCCAGCCCGGGCGCGCCCCCUCGCCGGGCGGGCGCCCACCGGCCCGGCAGCCCCCUGCCGUCAGUCCCUGCGCCCCGAGCGGGGGUGUCGGCCCGGGAGGCUGGAGCGGGAGAAGGCGAUGAAAUGAACAUCCUUUCCACAGCGAUGCAGUAUAGAUAUUUCCAACACAAGGACCCUUCUCCCCAGUGACAAGAGAGUUCCUUGCUAAACCAUAGUUCUGUCACCAGCACAUGUGAGUCCCUACUAAGCAUUAAUUGGUAUUUAUACUCUCAACACCUGCUUCUCUUUGAGAAGGAGACCUUUUAACAUUGUUUUUUUCUUAUUUCUAGGCAUUGGGUACAGCUUCCUACCUUCCCCUGUGCAUCUUCCUGAGAGCUGGAGAUGACGAGAUCCUCUACUUGUAUUCCCCAGUGAAAAGCUGACAACACUCUAUUGUCUGCCUACUAAUGAGCUUUCUUGUAUGGAAGAUGAUAAAGCAAAAUCUAAUCACAUCUAUGUCCCCAAACACACUUCAGGUUUGUUCACCUAGAUCUUUGGAAGGCUUCAAAAAAUUUUCACCCCAGAUGUUAAACUAGAAUCCUCUCCUUCCUCAUCACAAUGUUUCUCUCCCCCUAGAGUUAAUGGGAUGUUCUUUCCCAAGUCCUGCUCUUGCCCGAACACUACCAUCUCUACUAUAUCUUUUUUUGUUUCAUCUCUACUAUAUCUACUGACAACAUGUGCUUUCCUCCUAUGUCUGUCUUUUGAAUCUUAUGGAUUCAAUGUGGUUCUUUAAAUAGGUGAUUGUAGGAUGGAGAGGAAGAAAGAGGAGAAGAGAGGUAGAGUCACUGCAUAGGCCAGACCACCUGGACACCAGAGGGGAUGGCAGCAGGCCAGUUGUGAACUUCCAGCUCUAUGACCUCUCCUUGAAAAUUUGAAAAACCUCAGGAAAUAGAAGCUCAGGAAUUUUCAGCUGACGGGGAGUGGUCUCUUCGUCAGGCAGAGGAUGGCUACACCACAUGAAAUGCUCCAGCAUCUUACGGUUUCUCCAAGGAUCCAAAUCUUCACCCCUUUACCCUUCCCCCUUCCUCUUUAUAUUCAUUAUUCUUGUGGCUGAUCUAGUGACAGUUAAAUAGCACUUCUAAAUAGAAGCAUUUGCAAAACUUCACAGGAGAAAGGAGGAGGAAGAUGUGGCACUACUACAAGGGCGUGAAGACACGUUUUAGCCUUUGUGUCUCCACAGUCCUUUAGGGCUGUCCCACGCUUGAGUGACAGAUCACAUAGCAUUGCGCACAUCCAGGUGUUUCCUAAGGAAUGAGUAUUAGUUAACAGGGAGAGAGAACUUCUGAAGCCUGAAACAUUUUUCUUGGUCUGUGAAAUUAAAGCAGAAGCCACUUUCAACUCAUUCAGGGGGAAAAAAUAUGGAUGUGUCUACUCGAUCACAUUAGGCUUGUCCAUCCCAUGUGACUCAGCUGCCUAUGGAGCCCAGUCCCCAUCAUUAUGACAGUCCUCCAGCUUCAGACACUAACAGACAUGUGGCCUCCUGACUCUGUCAUCCUUCUCCUGUGGGCCCUUCUCUCUUUGGCUCACAUUUGGCUCAGCAUUUGGCUCCUUGGCUCUCCUCCUGCAUCCAAGAGGCCAUUCUUGGCCUGGGGCUGGUCCCCUAACACACAUACCUAUCUCCCAGCCAGAGGAGUGCAGGUCUUUUUUGCCUGGCAACCAUCGAGUCUCAGACACAGAAACCUUCAUUCAGCAUUUUAAAUUAAAACCCGCUGCCAGGGUAAGGCUUGUGUGAGUGUUCCUGCUGAUAUAAAUUGUCAGCUCCACUGUAGCUUCUAUUCUUACAUCUGUCAGGCAAAAGGCCCCAAGGAGUUAGAUUGAAGAAAGAGACAAUAGGUUGCCAUAGAUAAUGUAAGGAUCUGGCCUGGUCCAUAUGGUGGGUACAGUCAGUAACUGUUGUGCGCCAAAGUCGUGUUGGAAUUCUAUCAUUUUCCCCUCUUUCUCAUUUCCCCCAUGCAACCUGUCCGCCAAACCAGUGGCAGGGGGGAGAAGCAGCAACGGGGAGUCCUGCUAUAAUUCAUGGAAGAGAUUCAGGAUAGACUUCAGGAUAGGUACAAGAUUUGCUCAUCUUUUCCUGUUUUAAAACCCUUAGAGCACAUUUUGCCAACAUUUACCAACGUGCUACCAACUGUGAAUUUAUGUGAAGAAUCAUGCAUAGCAUUUCAGGGUGAUAAUUCCAUACUUAACAUUUUUGCUAGGUCUUUCUCUCAGGAAAGUUUUGCGAGUCCUCGAUUGAUUGUAUUCCAUAAACUAAGGGCUGAAAAGGACGGGAAUGCUGGGAUGAGAGUGGAGGUGAUGGGUUUCACAGGGGUCCCUGGCAACUGAGAAGACUUCAGAGUGGAGAAUCAUGCGGGAAAGAAGGUCCUUAUGGUUUUAAAAAUUCCAAAGAAACAAGGAGAGAAGCAGCUCAGAAACUCCGAGCUGCAGGUCAGAAUUGUUAUAUGUACAACUGAUCCUUGAACAAAGCAGGUUUGAACUGUGUGGGUCCACUCAUAUGUGGAUUUUUUAUACUAUAACACUGUAAAUGUAUUUUCUCUUACAAUUCUCUUAAUAACAUUUUCUUUUCUCCAGCUUACCUAUAACAUACCAAAUACAUGUUAAUUGACUGUUCAUGUUAAGGGUAAGGCUUCUGGCGAAACUGUUCAUGUUAUGGGUAAGGCUUCUGGUGACCAGUAGGCUAUUAGCUAAGUUUUGAGGGAGUCGAAAGUCACAGAAGGAUUUUCAACUUCAUAGGGGUCAGUGCCCCACACCCCCAGCCCUUCCCCAUUGCUCAAGGGUCAACUGUAUAUAAUUUCAAAUCGAGGUUGCAGACAAAUACUGAAUACCCCACUUCAAGUUCAAAUGUCAGAGCUAAUGUAGAAUUUCUCGCUUCAUAUUUGAUAACAGCCCAAGUGGAUUCAGCACAAAUAAAUUAUCGCGCUGUAAGGAUCCCGAGGGAAAAGUUGAUAAGCCAGAUCCCAUUCUCUCCACAUGUGUCUCAACAAAUAUAUCAUCUUAAGAAGAAUCUUAUCAGAUGGUAAGCACUUGGGAACUACCUAUUGUGAAUUCAGGGCAGCUGCCUUGGAACAGAAAAAGUCAUUUAUUUAUUUAUUUACUUAUUUAUUUAUUUUAAAUUUUGUUAUUAUUAUUAUUAUUAUUUGAAAAAGUCAUUUUUAAGCUGAUUUACAAGUGCUGAUAAUUCCCCCUAGAUUCAGAGCUGGCUUCCUUUUUUUUUUUUUUUUUUUUUUUUUAAGACAGGGAUGGGGACAAAGGGAUGACCUAGAGUCAUCAUCCCCCUUAAAAGUGGUGGAGGCAGGUAAUCGCCAACAUCUCCGUUCCCUCCCCCCUGGUUUUCCUCCUUUUCCCACGCCCCAGAGCCAACCACGUUGGUUACAAAAGCCAGAUACUCCGAGAAGAACGAGCCCGGGCGGAAGGGAGGCCUAGCCAGGGCUCCACGUGGGGGCCAAGGGCAGGCCUCGGGAGCCCCCCCCAACCCCGGCGCGAUCUGUGACUCAGCCCGGAGUCUCCGGGCUCCUCCCGGCUUCGCCCCGGAGGGAGCACGAACCCCGCGGGCUGCGCGGAGCUCGGGCCGGACCCUGCGCCGCAGCUCCUCGCUCCCCCCGCGGCCUGCGGCAGGAGACAGGCAGGGCCUGCUCUGAUUGGCUGCCUCUCUCUGACGUAGGCACCGGGCUCGGCCAAUCAGCAGCUCGCACUCCCAGAGCAGAAAGAUGAAUUGUAACAGCCAAGGCCCUGGGAAUUAAAAAAAAAAGAGAGCCCCCCCCCCACCCACCCCCAGCCCCGCACAAGGCUUCUGCAGGAGCCCCCCGCCGCCUCCCCCGACCCCGGGAGAGCCUCCUGUCUUCGGCCGGGAGCCCUCGGGCCAGGCCUGCGCGCACCCCGACUCCUUGGCGCUCAGCCGAGUUCACACCAUUUCCAAA
rnacentral:lncRNA from 1 species